rnacentral:rRNA from 1 species
AGUGAACGCUGGCGGUAGGCCUAACACAUGCAAGUCGAACGGCAGCACAGUAAGAGCUUGCUCUUACGGGUGGCGAGUGGCGGACGGGUGAGGAAUACAUCGGAAUCUACUUUUUCGUGGGGGAUAACGUAGGGAAACUUACGCUAAUACCGCAUACGACCUACGGGUGAAAGCAGGGGAUCUUCGGACCUUGCGCGAUUGAAUGAGCCGAUGUCGGAUUAGCUAGUUGGCGGGGUAAAGGCCCACCAAGGCGACGAUCCGUAGCUGGUCUGAGAGGAUGAACAGCAACACUGGAACUGAGGAACGGUACAGACUCCUACGGGAGGCAGCAGUGGGGAAUAUUGGACAAUGGGCGCAAGCCUGAUCCAGCCAUACCGCGUGGGUGAAGAAGGCCUUCGGGUUGUAAAGCCCUUUUGUUGGGAAAGAAAAGCAGCAGGUUAAUACCACGCUGUUCUGACGGUACCCAAAGAAUAAGCACCGGCUAACUUCGUG